GGCAACAUCUGCUAUAUAAUGAGCUAGAGAGGCGGUAAACAGUGACUGGGAAGGUUCUUAGAGGUGGAAGUUUUAUUUGUGUUGCCCAGCGAGUGCGCAGGUAAGUGCGGUGAGGAAAACCAUGGUACAUCCAUACAGAAUAGCGUUCAGCAAUUAAAAAUGUGCUUUCUCAAAAUUAUUCAGCAUAAAGGAAACCACAAUUUAAAAAAGUAAAACAUCUGAGUCUAAUCAUGUAAAAAGUACAAAAUAAUUUACUGUGAGUGUAGAAGUUUAAAAAGGACACACAAAAAAGGAGUUAUAUAGAUUUAUUACCACCCAUGGUUUUGUAUACAUUUUAAAUAUGUGCAGUUUUACAGCAUGUUAAUUAUACCUCAAUAAAGCUUUCCUUAAAAAUCAAAUAGAGGUCUGGGUCCCCUACUUUUUUGCACAAGAGUCCACCAUCCAUCCUUAUGCCUGGGAAAAGGAUGCCCUGCAUCAAAGAGUUUCAAGGUCAUUUCUAUCUGGCUCAGCAACUGGUCAGAAUAGCUACAGACUUAACCACCAGUGGAAUUUUCUAUCCUGUUGCCAUUUUCUCGCCUAUGCAGCAAAUAUCUGUGAGAUGGACUAGAAGUUAAGAUAGACACAGGGCCUCAAUUUCCACAACGACAGGAGGAACAGUGGGGUGGAGUGUAUUAACUGGAACAUCAGUGGAUGCAAGUUUUGUUAGAUGUUUAUGUAUCCUAAGUCCUGCCAUUUUCUUUGUUUCUGUACAAUCAUGGGUUUUCAACCUGGUCCCUAUAGUAGUCUUACAACUAGCCAAUGACACCAGCAAUGAGCUUUACAUGAAGGCACAUGAUUCCUUUGCAGUGCUUGGGAGCAGCUUCCCCACAACAGUGCUCGACAUUGUGUGACAGCCCUGGGAAAGAGGAACCACUCUCACGGGGGCCCUCCAGUGGUCAGAAGAGCAACACCGUGUCCUCCUGGUGCACUGCAAGGAGGUCUAGAAGGGGUUCUCCGCCCCAGAAGCACAUCAGAAGCUGCUGUCCUGUAUGAGGCCAGGCCCUUUGUUCUCCUGCGUGACUUCUCUGGUCCAUUCUGUCCCGACCUGAAGACCUCACCCAAGAGCUCUGUAAUAAAGGGUGCUCUGAUCUUUUUUCUCGGUCUGUUUGGUGACUUUCUCACUCCGCCGAUUUUAACCUUACACAUGACGGGUCUCAACUGGAGUCAGCAGGGCUGCCUUCCUUUCUGGAGGCAGUAGGAAAAUAGCUUAUUCUUUCCUUUUCAAGAUUCAGAGGCCACCCACAGCCAUGGGCUCAUGGCCUCUGCCAUCUCUAGCCAGAAAUGGCCAGGUGAGGCUUUCUCACCCUGCCUCACCUGCACGUUUCCCAUUUUCUAUGUAUCAUUCCCCCACUGCCAUCAGAACCCUUACGAUCACACUGGGCAGGUUCAGGUAAUCCAGCAAAAUCUCCCCAUUUCUAGGUCAGUGGAUUAUUACUAUUGAUUCUACCUACUACCUUCACUCUCCUUUGCCCUGUAACCUACCAUGAAGACAUGGACACUUAAGGGACACCGGGUUGUGCUGUCAGUUAAGCAUCUAACCCUUACUUUCUGCUCAGCUCAUGAUCUCAUGGGUUGUGAGAUCGAGCCCUGAGUCAGGCUCCACGUGCUGACAGCAUGGAGCCUGCUUGGGAUUCUCUCUCCCCUUCUCUAUUCCCUUCCCCCACUUCUGCUCCCUCUCUCUCAAAAUAGUAAACAAAGACAAGGACAUUUAAGUGGGGGCAUUAUUCUGCUUAUCCCAGUGGCUUAUCAACGACUCAACUCCCAAAAUCCAGCAUAAACCCUCCCUCUCCUUAGGAACAACAUGGGUUAUAGGGUUUUAGAAGCACCUGGUGCUGGAUCCCCCUCAGGUGCUAACAGGAUGACAGAGACUCCAACAACUCCAUCUUUCUGCGGGGUGAUGUCUGCUUUACCCUCAACUGCACGUUGAGGCCACUGGGCGGAGGAAGAGAAAGAAGAAACCAACCCAGCGUCCUCUCUUCAGGACUCUAUGCUGACAGCUACGAUUUCUUCUCCUUACUGCUUUCAUUCCAACCAUUCUCCUCAGAUACAUUCUUUAUUUUGCUGCAAGAAAAGUAUUUCUUAGGUAUCUGUAUUUCCGUGGCUUUACCGGGCCAUACUAACUGGACGCGUGUAAAUCGUACCCUGUGGUGCGUUUCCACAUAGACCUGUUUCGCUGAACCAGCCCCACAAUCAAGACAGGAAACAUAGUCAUCACCAUCCCAAGUUUUCUCACAACCCUUUCCACCA
rnacentral:lncRNA from 1 species